rnacentral:lncRNA from 1 species
UCCUUGUGCAAUUAUUGGUUUAGGCGGGGUACAAGUGGCAUUGUAUAGGCAUUAAACCUUCUUUCUUUUCUCAUUUUCAACCCGAAACUCUACCCCCAAACCCAUCCUCCAUGCCAUUUCCUUUCUCUCUUCGUCGGAAAACACCACCACAGUUGACAUCGCCAUUUGGUAAAACUCGUCUCCACCAUCACUACCACUGGUAUCUACCAAGUUUUCACUGCCACCGCCAUAUAUAUUAUAGCUCCUAUUUUCUUAAAUUCACUAACUUACGGAAUUAGAUUGUCCAUUACAAACAAUAAUCCAUAGCAGCAAUAGCAAAUGUAGCAACAGGAGUGAAAACCGAAAAGGCUUGUCCCUUAGAACCCCACUAGCAAAAAUUCUCCUAUAUGGCAAUUGGACAAGCUCAGGAACAAAGCCAAACACUGGAAGUAUGGAUGGAUCUUGGGGUUGUGGGUGAUGUUACUCUGUAAUCAAUUGCGAUUGAAAUUAGAAAAUUAAUUGCAAGAUUAGAAUAUGCUAUAGUUCAAAUAUGAUGUAAUUUUUGGUAGUUGGUUUUUGUGUAGAUGAUGGUGGUUGGUUGUGGUUUGAUUAUGGUGGUGGUGGUUUACGAUGCCCUUGUAUGAUGGUAGUGGUAGUGACCGAUCGAUUGAUAAUGUGCCGGCGUUGCUGUUGGUUGGGAAAGGGGGCGUGGCAGGCGUGGGAUGUUUGAAGGAGAGAAUUUUU